rnacentral:rRNA from 1 species
AGAGUUUGAUCCUGGCUCAGGAUGAACGCUGGCGGCGUGCCUAAUACAUGCAAGUCGAACGCACAGCGAAAGGUGCUUGCACCUUUCAAGUGAGUGGCGAACGGGUGAGUAACACGUGGAUAACCUACCUCAAGGUUGGGGAUAACAUUUGGAAACAGAUGCUAAUACCGAAUAAAACUUCGUAUCGCAUGAUACAAGGUUAAAAGGCGCUACGGCGUCACCUAGAGAUGGAUCCGCGGUGCAUUAGUUAGUUGGUGGGGUAAAGGCCUACCAAGACAAUGAUGCAUAGCCGAGUUGAGAGACUGAUCGGCCACAUUGGGACUGAGACACGGCCCAAACUCCUACGGGAGGCUGCAGUAGGGAAUCUUCCACAAUGGGCGAAAGCCUGAUGGAGCAACGCCGCGUGUGUGAUGAAGGCUUUCGGGUCGUAAAGCACUGUUGUAUGGGAAGAACAGCUAGAGUAGGGAAUGACUUUAGUUUGACGGUACCAUACCAGAAAGGGACGGCUAAAUACGUGCCAGCAGCCGCGGUAAUACGUAUGUCCCGAGCGUUAUCCGGAUUUAUUGGGCGUAAAGCGAGCGCAGACGGUUGAUUAAGUCUGAUGUGAAAGCCCGGAGCUCAACUCCAGAAAGGCAUUGGAAACUGGUCAACUUGAGUGCAGUAGAGGUAAGUGGAACUCCAUGUGUAGCGGUGGAAUGCGUAGAUAUAUGGAAGAACACCAGCGGCGAAGGCGGCUUACUGGACUGUAACUGACGUUGAGGCUCGAAAGUGUGGGUAGCAAACAGGAUUAGAUACCCUGGUAGUCCACACCGUAAACGAUG